GCUCAGGAUGAACGCUGGCGGCGUGCCUAAUACAUGCAAGUCGAGCGAACAGACGAGGAGCUUGCUCCUCUGACGUUAGCGGCGGACGGGUGAGUAACACGUGGAUAACCUACCUAUAAGACUGGGAUAACUUCGGGAAACCGGAGCUAAUACCGGAUAAUAUAUUGAACCGCAUGGUUCAAUAGUGAAAGACGGUUUUGCUGUCACUUAUAGAUGGAUCCGCGCCGCAUUAGCUAGUUGGUAAGGUAACGGCUUACCAAGGCAACGAUGCGUAGCCGACCUGAGAGGGUGAUCGGCCACACUGGAACUGAGACACGGUCCAGACUCCUACGGGAGGCAGCAGUAGGGAAUCUUCCGCAAUGGGCGAAAGCCUGACGGAGCAACGCCGCGUGAGUGAUGAAGGUCUUCGGAUCGUAAAACUCUGUUAUUAGGGAAGAACAAAUGUGUAAGUAACUAUGCACGUCUUGACGGUACCUAAUCAGAAAGCCACGGCUAACUACGUGCCAGCAGCCGCGGUAAUACGUAGGUGGCAAGCGUUAUCCGGAAUUAUUGGGCGUAAAGCGCGCGUAGGCGGUUUUUUAAGUCUGAUGUGAAAGCCCACGGCUCAACCGUGGAGGGUCAUUGGAAACUGGAAAACUUGAGUGCAGAAGAGGAAAGUGGAAUUCCAUGUGUAGCGGUGAAAUGCGCAGAGAUAUGGAGGAACACCAGUGGCGAAGGCGACUUUCUGGUCUGUAACUGACGCU
rnacentral:rRNA from 1 species